rnacentral:lncRNA from 1 species
UUUAAAAUGAGCUAGGUCCGGUUCGGAACUUUGCCGUUGGUAUAUGCCGAAAAGUACCGAAUGUAUGCAUAUGGUUAAAACGGAAAAUUACGUUAAGGGGCACCUUUGAACCUCUGUGGUGGCCAGACGGGCCCGGAUCCCAGAAAAAUAUUUAAGUGGGGAAUAGCUUGGGUCAAUACCUUUAAAAUGAGCUAGGUCCGGUUCGGAACUUUGCCGUUGGUAUAUGCCGAAAAGUACCGAAUGUAUGCAUAUGGUUAAAACGGAAAAUUACGUUAAGAGGCACCUUUGAACCUCUGUGGUGGCCAGACGGGCCCGGAUCCCAGAAAAAUAUUUAAGUGGGGAAUAGCUUGGGUCUAUACCUUUAAAAUGAGCUAGGUCCGGUUCGGAACUUUGCCGUUGGUAUAUGCCGAAAAGUACCGAAUGUAUGC